ensembl:lncRNA
AGCAAGGUCAGGGAUUGAACCCACGACUUCAUAGUUCCUAGUCAGAUUAAUUUCCACUGUGCCACGCCAGGAACUCCGAAAAACUGCUUUUAUUCACUUACUGUGAAUUAAUGUAGCAGUUCUCAAGGUGUGAUCCAUGGGCAUGUUCAAACAUAAUGGACUAGUUAUUGCUGUUUUUAAGAAAUAAAUAUGGUUUGGGACUGGCAUAUGCACACUGAGGUAUAGAGAAUGACUGGUCAAUGGGGACUUGCUGUACAGCACAGGGAACUCUACCCAAUAAUCUACAAGGGAAAAUAAUCUAAGAAAGAAUGGUAUGUAUAUGUAUAACUGAAUCACUUUGUUGUACAACAAAUUAUCACAACAUUGUAAAUCAACUAUACGUCAAUAAAAAUUAAAAAAUAUUAAAAAAUAAAUCAGUCCUUAAAUUUUAAGAGUAUCAUAAAGGGGUUUUGAGACAAAAAAGCUUGAAAAUCAGUUAUACAAAUGUAUCUGUUCUGUUCACUUACAUGUAACAUGAAAGAUAAGAGUAAGCUGGUUCGCAUUACUGCAAAGAUAUGAAUCCUAUUCACUUCAACUUGUUUUCAGUGAUUAUUUUGUCCUAUUACACCAAUCCAAAAUGCUCAUGUUAGAAUAUGUAAAUCAAAAUCACAAUGAAAAUCUCUAUACACAUUGUAGGAAUCACAAAAAAUGUUAGUUUAUCUCCAGAGUCAUCUAUGCCAACUGGAUGCACCUAGCUCAUACCUUUAACCUGAAGUGACUCUAAGCAGUAAGGACAAUGGCAAGUUCUAUUUCCACACAGGUGUUCUAGAAUUCCAGAAUGCUUUUUUCUGGCCCCACCCAUGGUAUGUACAAGUUGCUGGGCUAGGGAUCAAACCUGUGCCUCAUCUGUCAUCUGAGCUGCCAGAGACACACCGGUUCCUUAACCCACUCUGCUACAGUGGGAACUCUCCAGCUUGCCCCUUUUUUUUCUUUUUAGGGCCAUACCCUCAACAUAUGGAGGUUCCCAGGGUAACAGUCGAGUUAUAGCUGUAGCUGCUGGCCUACUCCACAGCCACAGCAAUGUCAGAUCCUUAACCCACUGAGCGAGGCCAGAGAUCGGACCCAACUCUUCAUGGAUACUAGUCGGGUCCAUUACCACUCAGCCACGACAGGAACUCCUCCCCAGCUUGCUUUUGAUUCUCGGCUGCUAAAUAUUCUUCAAACAAAUGACAUUUCUGCUUAAAUUAGCCUGGUAGACUUCCAAGAGCUAUGAACAGUGUAGUCUAUAUAUUUUCUCUUUGCCUAUAAUUAGAAUGUCUUCCAAAAAAAUGAGUUCUCCUCUCAAUUUAAAUCUAAUUGUAUAACCCUAAGACCUAUCUUCCCUUCAAUUUAUUCAUUCAGACUAGGUGUCUAAGAGUCUGUAUUUCUCUAAAAAUGUGAAAUCUUUCACAUAUGUAAUCUGAAAAUAGCUGUUCUUUUCCAAAUUCGAAUUCUCUAAGGGUUGAUUCUUAGUUGUGUAACAAAAUAUAUUAUUUUAUUAUCAUUUUACUGAAAUAUUCUUUUUUUUGAUAGUGGUGGGGAAAGGAGACAAACUGGAUUUCUUUUUCUCACAUAACAAAAAGCCUAGAUGUAGGCAGUGCUGGGCUGGUGUAGCUUCUCAAGCACCAUGGGACAGGCAGACUCUCUUUCCCCCUGCUUUCUCUCAUCAUUCAUAAACAGAAUUGCCGUCUCAUGGUCACAAAAUGGUUGUGUGUCUCUGGGCACUGCAUCUGGUAUCUUAGUGAGAAGGGAGAAGGGACAAAGAGCCAAAAGGGCACGUGCCAAUCUAGUCCAGAUGUCUCACUGGCCAGCUGAGACACAUGCUCUCUGGUGCC